CCUUCCCCUCAGGGUGGUGACUGAUCAUGGCUGGAGUGGAAAGCUCAGUCAGUCUGGGUCUCCGAAGAGUAGAGCACCUAUGUCACAACAGAGGGACCGCAGCUGCUUCAAGCCAUUGAGAUAUUAGGACUGCGUGUAACCCCCCGCCCCCCACCCCUUACCCUGUACAGUCUGGUUGAAAUAGGACAAAUCCCACCCAACUGAGCUGAGACAAAGUAGUGUCUCAUCUUGAGGGGCAGCGACAAAAAUAUGUGAAUGAUGCCGUGUGUAAUGCAGCUUUCCUACUGCUUGAAAUUGGUGACAGCCAUUAAAAGCGAGCAGGGAGAGAACAAGCCAUUCCAAGAAAAACGAAGCUCUCCACAACACCCAAAUUGAAGGUCUGGACCUCCUCAGCAGCCAGCAUCUCAAAAGCCUACCAAAGUGGGAAAAACCACCUACCUCUGUACAAAAACCUGUGAAGACUGAACUCACAAUGAUGAGGGAGAGAGCGAAAAUCCUGGAAGAAAGUGGUUCCCUGGAAGCCAGAAUGAAUGCAAAUAAAAGUGCCACAUGUGGAAAUGCCUCAUCGUCAUCUUCAUGGUACGGAAACUGCAGGCCGAAGAGGGGUGUUUAGUGGAAACGGGCUCGUGAUCUGCGCGUGAACAAUAGUUCGUUUUAAGGGUGUGCAUCUGAAAGCCCG
rnacentral:lncRNA from 1 species